rnacentral:tRNA from 1 species
GGUAGCGUGGCCGAGUGGUCUAAGGCGCUGUGUUUAGGCCGCAGUCUCUUCGGAGGCGUGGGUUCGAAUCCCACCGCUGCCA